GAGGAAGAGGGCGGCGGCAGUGGUGGUGACUGAGCGGAGCCCGGUGACAGGAUGGCUGGGCACAGAUUGGUGUUGGUAUUAGGAGAUCUGCACAUCCCACACCGGUGCAACAGUUUGCCAGCUAAAUUCAAAAAACUCCUGGUGCCAGGAAAAAUUCAGCACAUUCUCUGCACAGGAAACCUUUGCACCAAAGAGAGUUAUGACUAUCUCAAGACUCUGGCUGGUGAUGUUCAUAUUGUGAGAGGAGACUUUGAUGAGAAACAUUAUUCCAUCAUUUGUGUUGAUGGAUAUCCAGGCUUCCACAGUGGUCACCUAUGUGUAUCAGCUAAUUGGAGAUGAUGUGAAAGUAGAACGAAUUGAAUACAAAAAAUCUUAAAGCCAGGCCUGUCUUGAUGAUUUUUUUUUUCAUUGUCCUGUUGAAAUCAAGUAAUUAAACAUUUAAGAGCCACAAAAUUGUAUCACUUUUAUAAUAUUUUGCAAUAAAAUAUAAUACCAUCUUCUCUGUUAAUACAUAAUUGCUGUAAGCUUCCUGUAAACUAUAAGAAUAUAUUUAGUUUAUAGUAUAUGAAUUCUAUGAAAAAAUGUCCACAACACAGUAAUUGGUCACUUGUUAAGAAAAAUUUAUCCUUGUAAAUAUCUUCAAAGUUGGUAUUUGGAACUUUAUUCCAAAAGUAGUGCAUGUGGAGAAAGAAUUUAGACUAUCUUGUAUACAUUUUUCUCUUCUCUAGUAAUAAACAAUUACCUUUCAUUUAUACUUUCUUGAUAACCUGUAUUUAAUUUUAAAAAACAUAAAAAUGAGGAACCAAGUGAAACUACGCAUAUAAAUAUUAAAGUGAAGUGGACGAGAUGACCUUUCAAAAA